GACUGUGAAGACAAUCUGUUCACAACAUCUGGCAUUCUCAGGACUGUUCUGACUGCACUGGUAGCUAAAGUGGACCCUUCCUCCUUUACCACUCUUGCACAUGCCUCCAGACUCUUUAGACUUGUCAUUAAGGACACUUUUCCAUAAUAGAGAAGAACUGUUCUUUGGUCAUGAGUAUACAAGUAACUGCAGUUCUCUGGUAGGAAUCUCCAAAUAAAGUUCUGAAGGAAUAUAAAUUUGAACAAGGCACUUAUAUAAUAGUGGAUAU
rnacentral:snRNA from 1 species